UCCUUCCUCAUCAAUUUGCGGUUGGCUUGUGCUCGCCUUUAGAGCUAUUCUUUGCCUCCUUGAUCAUCAACAAAAGGGUUGAGAAUAGUAGAUUCAUAGGUCUUAAGGUUAUCUCUUAGUGCGUCGAUGGUGACGUUUGAAACGCCAAUGGAUUCUUGGAUUGCAUCGGCCUUUGAUCUCCAUGCCGGUGUGAGACUUCUAAGAAUUUUUCGAACGAGCUCUCUAUCCGNN
rnacentral:lncRNA from 1 species